rfam:Triticum aestivum genome assembly, contig: Triticum_aestivum_CS42_TGACv1_scaffold_513743_6BS
CUACUACUCCCUCCGUUCGGAAUUACUUGACACAAAAAUGAAUAAAAAUAAAUGUAUCUACAACUAAAAUACAUUUAGAUACAUUAUUUUUUGAACGAGUAAUUCUGAAUGGAGGAAGUACAUA